rnacentral:rRNA from 1 species
GAUGAACGCUGGCGGCGUGCCUAAUACAUGCAAGUCGAACGCGCAGCGAGAGGUGCUUGCACCUUUCAAGCGAGUGGCGAACGGGUGAGUAACACGUGGAUAACCUGCCUCAAGGCUGGGGAUAACAUUUGGAAACAGAUGCUAAUACCGAAUAAAACUUAGUAUCGCAUGAUAUCAAGUUAAAAGGCGCUACGGCGUCACCUAGAGAUGGAUCCGUGGUGCAUUAGUUAGUUGGUGGGGUAAAGGCUUACCAAGACGAUGAUGCAUAGCCGAGUUGAGAGACUGAUCGGCCACAUUGGGACUGAGACACGGCCCAAACUCCUACGGGAGGCUGCAGUAGGGAAUCUUCCACAAUGGGCGCAAGCCUGAUGGAGCAACGCCGCGUGUGUGAUGAAGGCUUUCGGGUCGUAAAGCACUGUUGUAUGGGAAGAAAUGCUAAAAUAGGGAAUGAUUUUAGUUUGACGGUACCAUACCAGAAAGGGACGGCUAAAUACGUGCCAGCAGCCGCGGUAAUACGUAUGUCCCGAGCGUUAUCCGGAUUUAUUGGGCGUAAAGCGAGCGCAGACGGUUGAUUAAGUCUGAUGUGAAAGCCCGGAGCUCAACUCCGGAAU